CUCUCUCUCUCUCUCUCUCUCUCUGUGGCUUCAAGAGGACUAGAGCAAGCAGGAAAAAAGGUGGAGUCUUUGGCGCGUUUCUUCUCUCGUCUCUUCCCUUCUUCGCCUAUUUAUACUUUCUAUAGCGAAUGCUGCUAACACUGCUCUCCCCCUUGCUCUUCCUUUUCCUUUCCCUUCUUCCCCCUCUCAUCCCUUCCCCUGUCUCUCUCUCUCUUCCAUGAUCCAUAUAAGGAUACGGAUCUCCAUCCUCUCUCUCUUCAAUCAAGCCUUUUAUAGAAAUGGUCUCCUUUCUCUCUGGACGCUAUCCAUAUAGGGAACACUUUUCGAGCGCAUGGUCACGGGACUCGAGCGCAAGCUUCACUUCUUUUGACAUAUCCACGUUCCCUUCGUUUCUGAAGGUGGCCG
rnacentral:lncRNA from 1 species